AACGAACGCUGGCGGCAGGCCUCAAACAUGCAAGUCUAGGGGGUAGCAAUACCACCGGCGGACGGGUGCGUAACGCGUGGGAACAUACCUUUCGGUACGGAACAACUGCGGGAAACUGCAGCUAAUACCGUAAACGCCCUUACGGGGAAAGAUUUAUCGCCGAAGGAUUGGCCCGCGUUCGAUUAGCUAGUUGGUGGGGUAAAAGCUCACCAAGGCUACGAUCGAUAGCUGUUCUGAGAGGAAGAUCAGCCACACCGGGACUGAGACACGGCCCAGACUCCUACGGGAGGCAGCAGUUGGGAAUCUUGGACAAUGGGGGAAACCCUGAUCCAGCCAUGCCGCGUGAGUGAUGAAGGCCUUCGGGUUGUAAAACUCUUUCGACGGGGACGAUAAUGACGGUACCCGUAGAAGAAGCUCCGGCUAACUUCGUGCCAGCAGCCGCAGUAA
rnacentral:rRNA from 1 species